UCCGGAGUAGCUCAACGGUAGAGCAGGCGGCUGUUAACCGCAAGGUUCACGGUUCGAAUCCGUGCUCCGGAGCCA
rnacentral:tRNA from 2 species